rnacentral:rRNA from 1 species
UUAGAGGCAAACGGGUGGACCCGCAAUACGUCGACUCGGGGGAUUCAACCAGGCCGUGCGUUCGGGACGCGUGGGGGUUAUGCGGAGCUGUAAAGCCCGUGCCUUUGCGCAGGUCUCCGGGCGGCCUGGUGCACUUUCCUCGGGUCGAUUGCCACGACCGGCUCUCCGUGCGCGGCCACAAGCCUUUGCUGGGAAGGUGACCGUCGGCCCCGCGCCGGCGGUGUUAUAGCCCAGCUUGUUCGUUGUGCUCGUGGGAGGGCCGAGGAAGUGUUGCCGUUUCUCAGCCACCCUCCGGCCAUCCUUGCUCGUCACGACUGGGGUGAACUGCUCCGUCAGUGCUCUCCCGACCGCGAGCGUAGGAAGGGCUGGUACGGUGCGAGAAUAGCUUCGGGCCAGUGGCGAAUCGGUCGGUCCUCCACCCGACCCGUCUUGAA